AGUGACAACAUCGACUUUGAAGUUGCACUGACCUGGCCAGCCCUGCCACUUACCAGGCUGUGGCUUGCCUUUUCACUUCUUGUGUCCUGUUUAAGAAAUAUCUACUAUCCCAAGAUAACACUAACAAAGUUGACCUUAGAAUUGGAGUGCCUGGGUUAGAACCCUGCUGGUACCACCUGCUUACUGCAUGCUUCUGAUGUGAGUUCAGGAGAAGACACUGGCAAGGACAGCAAAGAACAGGAGAACACUCUAGCUUCCCUGAUAGCAUUCAAGGUGCUGUCCAAAGCUCUUGAGUUUCUGCUUUCAAGUGACCCUCAGAAAUUCCCCCAUUCACUGCAGAGGUUCUGUUUCUCCUUGCUUUGUUCUGACUUUACGGCAGAACUAAGCUGAUGAGUUAGUUACUAUGGGUUAUCACUUGGAUUUGAAGAACCAUCAUUUCUAGGCAUUGCUGCUCAGAGUGGGUCUGCCCUCAGGGGAAGCUGUCUAACCAGAGCCUAACCCACUAGGGUUUUAUCAGAACCUAACUGACCUGAGGAAAAGAAAUAUUCAACUCCAGCAAGCUCCAGCCUUCCAAAUGGAGGAGAAGAAAACCCAACUCCAGCCCACUUCAGCUAUCUUGUCCCACAUAAAGGGGAAGUGGAAGAAACCUGAGAAGCAGGCAUGAAGUUCACAGUCCAGAGGUACAGACACAUCAGAGUUCAGUAUCUGAUGAAUUAGAUGCAAAAACCUCAACAAAGUAUUAGCAAAUUGAAUUCAACAAUGUAUGAAAAUUAUUACAUGCCAUGACUAAUUGGAAUUUAUCUCAGGUAUACAAGCCAUGCUGAACAUCUGAAAAUCAAUUCAUGUGAUCCAUCACAUUAGCAGACUCAA
rnacentral:lncRNA from 1 species